CUUGGUCAUUUAGAGGAAGUAAAAGUCGUAACAAGGUUUCCGUAGGUGAACCUGCGGAAGGAUCAUUAAAAAAAGAGAAACGUCCCGUUUUUUUUCAUAAGAAUGGGUUCUAUUCCCUUAAACCGUGUCUACAUACCUUUGUUGCUUUGGCAGGCCGCCUUCGGGCGUCGGCUCCGGCUGAUAGUGCCUGCCAGAGGACCCAAACUCUAUGUUUAGUGAUGUCUGAGUACUAUAUAAUAUUUAAAACUUUCAACAACGGAUCUCUUGGUUCUGGCAUCGAUGAAGAACGCAGCGAAAUGCGAUAAGUAAUGUGAAUUGCAGAAUUCAGUGAAUCAUCGAAUCUUUGAACGCACAUUGCGCCCCUUGGUAUUCCGAGGGGCAUGCCUGUUCGAGCGUCAUUAUAACCACUCAAGCCUGGCUUGGUAUUGGGGUUUUCGCGUGUUCGCGGCCCUUAAAAUCAGUGGCGGUGCCGUCUGGCUCUAAGCGUAGUAAUUUCUCCCGCUAUAGGGUUCCGGUGGUUACUUGCCAAAACCCCCCUAUUUUUUCUAGGUUGACCUCGGAUCAGGUAGGGAUACCCGCUGAACUUAAGCAUAUCAAUAAGCGGAGGA
rnacentral:rRNA from 1 species